rnacentral:lncRNA from 7 species
AAGUCUCUCUGAAGCACGUGAAGUGUGAGUGGGUAGUAGUCUGAAUAUGUGGAUGGAAGGACUGUAAGGAAGAAGAGAGCAAUAUGCUUCCACAAUUAUAGAGGCUAGAGCAGAUGGUAGUAGGUUUUCUUGUUCUGAUAGUGCAGUAGGGAUGGCUCAGUCUAGGUAUUAGCAAGGUAUGCUGCUGCCCUCAGCACAGCCCAGGUUGAGCGAUGGAAUGGCCCUAUGCGAAUAAACAGCGACGGUGUGGAGUCACCCAUGUCUGGGACUGUCUCUUACGUGAUUGCCAUAGUUAUAUUUGAACAGAAGGAAAGUUAAAUGGAUAAUGUCUGCUGUCUGGUCUCUGGAGUACAUCAAUUAUUCUCAAGGAAAUAUCUUUCCUUUGCUGAGUGGCACAUGCCUACCUGCUCUCGCUGCCCUUCUUUUCGGGAUCUGACAGAGCAGCCAGAUCUUCUCUCUUGUUGCAGGAUUUUACCUCAUGCUGCAGAGCAUCCACAGAAGAAAAAACGUGGAAGGACUCGUGGUGACCCAGUUUUUCUCAUGCAUGCAUACAAGCACCAGUGCAGCUGCCUAUCUGUCUGCUCCAGGCUGUGCUGCAUGUGUUGUCCAUGGCCAGAAGGAAUGGCAGUAGGUCCUGCUCUGCUGGGGAUGGCUGAAGAACCAGAAAGGAGCAAUUUUGGAAGAGGGGGAACUGCAGUGAGAGAAAGAUUCUUCCCGCUGUCAAAAUGGUGCCCUUUACAGAGGUCAACUUUUGUCUGGACCAUCUAUACAUGAAUUUUUGGAGCCCUCUCAGUACUGUAAAUCCUUGCAUGCAGCUUCAAAGUGGAAGUUACCUUCAGAGGGAAGUGAUUUGAACUGUUUUACUCACUAUUAUGAAAGAAAUCACAACCAUCUGAGGAACAGUGUGCUCUCACCUGCUGUGAGAAUCGUCCAGCCACAUCUAGUAGAGCCAUUUGCAUUAGUAAUUACCUGUCAUUUCCUGCAAAUCCAAUUACUUUGAAUUAAAAUUUAAAAUGACUUUACAAUUACUGAAACAUACUUGUUAGUGUGAGAGUAAGCAAUGUUUUUACUGUCCCACAUUUAAAAAGGAGCAGAGGUUCUUAACCCUGUAAGAGAGCAACUGUUUCUGAUAUGCUUUCUGAGAUGCACAGUAUGUGCAAAGACACAAACCUUAUUUGCUUCAUGCUGCUGACUAUAACUGCGGUCAACUGAUGUUGCUCUCACAAGUGAGAUAAAUUAAUUAGCUUCUUAAACUGUAUGUACUGUGCACAUAGCAGUAAAUUAUCAUACACAAGAUUCCUAAAUUGCCAAUAUGGAUUAUUCCACUUGAAUUAUGGAACUGUAUUUCCUAAAAAAUAUUAUCUGAAAAUUUACUGACCCUGAAUUACCUCAUGUCUUGUGUAAGAGACAGAUGAUCAAAGAGAUUGUCUUUCUAUCCACCUGAAAUGCACUGAAUGAUAAAAGGGAUCAUACAUAAUGAUGAAGCUAGGGCAUCCUAUUUUAUAGUUAUGUCACUGGGACUUUGACUGUUAUUCCACUUCAGUGCCUUGGAGAAAAUAAAUGUGCUCUUGUUUCUUCUUGC